rnacentral:lncRNA from 1 species
GUAGUUUUAUUAACCCGGCGCGGUGGGUCAAUGAGGUGUUCAGGUGUCACUGAGGUGGCCCUGUUCACCUGAUUGCCUCGCUAGCGGACCAUCCUCAUGGUACCGGGCGGGUCGGCAGGUUGCGGAUAGCCGGUCUGUUCCCAUCCAAAACCGUACCGAACCGUAUUUAUUUCGCUUUCCAUUAGAUUACUUCGAAUUUCAAACACACAAUUAUAUAAAAUAACUGUGAUAUUUUAUUUACUUUGAAUUAAAAAAAAAUGUAAAUAAACAUAAACUUAUCGAAAAAAUAUUAAUAACUAAUCAAAAAUAAACAUAAUUAAUUUAUUUGAGUUCAAAAAUUUUACUAACAAGUGAUUGAUAAAAUAAAACUGAAUGUUAUAAAUUUCAACUAAAAUAAUUAAUUUAACAAAGUUUCAAACCAAAUUAUAUAAUUCAAAUUUCUUUUAGCUAUUAUUAAACAUAUAACCGGAUUUUAUAUUUAAACCGCGUAUCGCGAAUCCGCGUGAUGGGUAAAGACACCCAUCCACCAUCCAGUAAGCCCACAUGUCAUAUUAAUAGCGAUCAACACACGAUCAGUUCAAUCGAAUGUCAAGCCUAUCACUACAGGCAUGGAAGGUGGGUGGCUAGCAUUUAGAUGCCCCGGACAAGAGGACUUAUUUAAGUACUCCCUACAGCCCUACAUCCUACCCAACCAACCAAACCUGCAACCUAUGAUACACCUACUUUUUUACUCCCAGAAUUUACUCCCUACUCAAUUUCCUUCCUUCAGUACUCUGGGUUCAAUUCCCAAUCGGACCAAUUUAGGUAUUCAUAUCUAAAUUGGCUCAUGUCUGGUUGUCUCAAACUCCUUGCAAGUUAACGUGGUACCAUCUGAGAAUGCAUCGUCACCUAACAUCAAGUGCGAUCGCAAUCUAGCGUUAACUUAGUAUGAAAAAUCCUGACCACCUUAAUAUUGGCACUGCAUUGCAGUGUCCAUUUAGUAAUGUUACAGAUAUCUAGUACUGUGCGGAAUGGAUCACAGAUGCGAUCCGACUACCUGGCAUCGCAAUAUCGACCGAUAGAAGAAAACACACAAGUAUCCUGAUCUAUGACAAAGCGAUUAGAUCGGGCAGCGUUAGCAGAAAACUGUUAACCUAGUAAUAAGCAUAAUUAAAAUAUAGAAUCUGUGUAAUGUUCUCGAUGUUUCUGUAUAUUUGUAUCCAUGUAACUUGUUGUAUGUGUUACUAUAUAAAUAUAAUAAUAAUGUUACCAUCACAACUUUCACAAGUAUUAUAGCCUAAUCAGAAAAAUAAAAAACCUUGCCAUGUUGCCGAAAAAAGUAUUAAUUUCUUCUAUCAGAAUUAUGCAUAGACUGCUAAAACACUUGCGGCGCAGGUUUUUUAUUUUCUGUUAAUGUGUACAUAGUAUCACACAUUAUGACAUUAAAUUUUCAAAUUAUUAAAGUAUUAUUUAAAAAUUAUUAAGGAAACUUGUUUAUUAAGGAAAUUUGUAACAAUGAUUUAUUGAUUGUAUUCUGAUAAAUAACUGCUAUUAUUAUAAUGGUUGAUAGUAUUUUUUUUCUAUAGUUGAAAAGUUUUUGUUACACAAAUAAUUAUUGCCAGCCAUGGUCGUAAUAAAUUAUCCAUGGUAUAUUCAUAAAGUGUGACCCUAUUACGGUGGAUCAUCAUAAAACUGUAUACUUACUGUGUCUUUCGAAUUCAAUAUUUUUGUAAAUAAAGGUAUGACAAAAAGCAUGACAAUCACAUAUGCCGUGCUCAAGUAUGUCUUAAAAUUACUGAAGUCUGUAGCGUCCCAUUUAAAUACAUUUGUCGUGUAUAGAUACAUAACUUGCUUCUCAUCUGUAACGAAAAAUACUGUUAUUAUAAACUAUGAACUAGAAGUUAACCACGUUUAAAGCGUUUCGGUUCUUUCCGUUUGUGUAUAGAAUUAUUUUCGAAGAGCUCCAAUUAUAAUUUAAACUUUCAAGAUUCAAGGUUUACCAGCUAAUAUUAAGUCUACAACAAUAAGUUAAGUUAAAAAAAUAUUGUAUUAAUUAGUUUAAGGCAUUGUAUAAUCGUACAUGAUUGUAGUUGUAUUUAAUUAUUUUAAAUGUUAAUAAAAUAAAU